rnacentral:rRNA from 1 species
AACGAACGCUGGCGGCAGGCCUAACACAUGCAAGUCGAACGCUCGUAGCAAUACGGGAGUGGCAGACGGGUGCGUAACGCGUGGGAACAUACCCUUUGGUUCGGAAUAACUCAGGGAAACUUGAGCUAAUACCGGAUACGCCCGAGAGGGGAAAGAUUUAUUGCCGAAGGAUUGGCCCGCGUCUGAUUAGCUUGUUGGUAGGGUAACGGCCUACCAAGGCGACGAUCAGUAGCUGGUCUGAGAGGAUGAUCAGCCACACUGGGACUGAGACACGGCCCAGACUCCUACGGGAGGCAGCAGUGGGGAAUAUUGGACAAUGGGCGCAAGCCUGAUCCAGCCAUGCGCGUGAGUGAUGACGGCCCUAGGGUUGUAAAGCUCUUUUACCCGGGAAGAUAAUGACGGUACCGGGAGAAUAAGCCCGGCUAACUUCGUG